GAUGAAGAACGCAGCGAAAUGCGAUAAGUAGUGUGAAUUGCAGAAUUCAGUGAAUCAUCGAAUCUUUGAACGCACAUUGCGCCCCUUGGUAUCCCGAGGGGCAUGCCUGUUCGAGCGUCAUUUCACCACUCAAGCCUGGCUUGGUGUUGGGCGACGUCCUCUUUGGGGACGCGCCUCGAAACGCUCGGCGGCGUGGCACCGGCUUUAAGCGUAGCAGAAUCUUUCGCUUUGGAAGUCGGGGCCCCGUCUGCCGGAAGACCUGCUCGCAAGGUUGACCUCGGAUCAGGCAGGGAUACCCGCUGAACUUAAGCAUAUCCAAUAAGCGGAGGA
rnacentral:misc_RNA from 1 species